rnacentral:lncRNA from 1 species
UUAUCUCCUCUUUAAAGCACCAGUGUACUUUUUUAGUCUCGCUGAAAUUAUUCUAUAGUUAUAUUAUGGUGUAACAAUUAAAACCUGCUAUCUUAGAUAAUAGUCAUGUGGGUUCACUGGAAAAUGUUCAUCUCAUUUUACUAUGUCAACUGUUAAUUUUAGAACAAGUGUUGUUAGGUCCGCCCGCUUCUGCUUAUUUAUAGCAGAUUGCAGUUUAAUUUUUUUAAUAAGUUGUCACUAUUGUGUUUGGUGCCAACUUAUAUGAG